AUAUAAGUAAGCGGCGGACAAUAAACUAAACAGGACCCCCAUAGUAAUGGCGAAUGAGCAGGGAUGAGCUCAGCAUGGAAAUUGGGGCCUGUGGCCUUGACUUGUAGGCUGGUGAGGCAUUGCCAACAGAGGCGCAGAUGUAAGUCUUUUUGGAAAAGAGCAUCAAUGAGGGUGAGAAUCCUGCUUGCCAUUUGCAGACCCCUGUGCACGGUGUGCCCAUAGCGAGUCACGUUCCUUGGGAUUGGAGCGCAAAGUGGGUGGUAACUUUCAUCUGAAGCUAAAUAUUGGUUUAAGACCGAUAGGAAACAAGUACCAUGAGGGAAAGGUGAAAAGGACUUUGGAAAGAGAGUUAAAAGUGCCUGAAAUUGCUGAAAGGGAAGCGAAUGGAACCAGUGUGCCCGGGUGAGAUUGUCAUAUGCUAUAAUGAUUGGUUGCUGCUUCAUCGCAAGUGUUCUCGCAAUCAUUGAUCUAUGAGUGUGUGGUGUGUCUUGCCUUGAAUGUCAUCACGGGCUUCUGCAUUACGACAAUUCAAAGUUCAGGGUAUUAUGUUUGCGACGGUAUGAAUGUGCUUUGCUAUGCUUAUGCAUGAGCUUCUUUUGCUGGUGUAGCUGCUGUGUGCUGUCCCCAACCUAGGGAAGCACACACCAUUUC
rnacentral:rRNA from 1 species